UACGUAGGGCGCAAGCGUUGUUCGGAAUUACUGGGCGUAAAGGGCGCGUAGGCGGCCUUCUAAGUCGAACGUGAAAUCCCCGGGCUCAACCCGGGAACUGCGUCCGAUACUGGAAGGCUUGAAUCCGGGAGAGGGAUGUGGAAUUCCAGGUGUAGCGGUGAAAUGCGUAGAUAUCUGGAGGAACACCGGUGGCGAAGGCGACAUCCUGGACCGGUAUUGACGCUGAGGCGCGAAAGCCAGGGGAGCAAACGGG
rnacentral:rRNA from 1 species